rnacentral:rRNA from 1 species
AGUGAACGCUGGCGGUAGGCCUAACACAUGCAAGUCGAACGGCAGCACAGUAAGAGCUUGCUCUUACGGGUGGCGAGUGGCGGACGGGUGAGGAAUACAUCGGAAUCUACUUUUUCGUGGGGGAUAACGUAGGGAAACUUACGCUAAUACCGCAUACGACCUACGGGUGAAAGCAGGGGAUCUUCGGACCUUGCGCGAUUGAAUGAGCCGAUGUCGGAUUAGCUAGUUGGCGGGGUAAAGGCCCACCAAGGCGACGAUCCGUAGCUGGUCUGAGAGGAUGGAUAGGCAAACUGGGACAUGAGAAACGGUCAAGACCCUACCGGGAGGCAGAAGUGGGAAAUAUUGAAAAAGGGCGGAAAGCUGAACCAGCCAUUCCCGGGUGGGGAAAAAGGGCUUUCGGGUUGAAAGCCCUUUUUGUUGGGAAGAAAAAGAAGAAGGUUAAAACCCCGUGGUCCUGAGGGUCCCAAAAGAUGAAGAACCGGUAACCUCCGU